GGCCUGCCAGCCUCACAGAAGGCAAGCUGACCUUCUUAAUUCAGCUCCCCUACCCCUGUCAAUUGUUGCAUCGCUGGAUAAUAUUUCAUGACAUCUUUCAGCUGCAUAUUUCUUAUGAAGAAUUUAACUGAAGUAAAACAGAAUUUAGAAACAGAAUUUGGCAUAAAUAAAUGAUAACUGAGAAAAUGGCAUACACGGACAAGUAAAUGCAAGAUUUCUCCAGCCUCCCACGGGCUUGAAAUGUAUUUAGGGAAGCCAGGCAUGUAUGCAUGAAAUAGAAAGUCACCAUACAAGGCAGUGGGGCACCUGCCAUUUGCUGCAGAGGACGCAGCUGAAGAUAAGGACUACAGCCAUUCAAGGCCCCAGGGGAGGCCAGGGCAGGACUGGGACCAGAGCCUCACCAAAGACAUGGAGAUCCUAGGAUAAGAAGGCUGAAGGGUUAGUUUCUGGAUCAUCUGAAAUUUGAUAUUUUAAAAGCUUUCUUUAAAAGACGCUUUUAUAAUUCUCUCUUAAAAAAUUCAGCCCAUUUUGUCCUUUGCCAUUUUUGAAUUGGGUUAUAGGUCUUGUACUUAUUGAUUUAUAAAAGCUCUUUCAUUUUAGAAACAUUAAUAAUAAAUAUUUUACCUAGUUAAGAAAAUUUAGCUGCCAAGUGAUGUCUUUUCCAUAUGGUGACAAAUACAUUAAGGAGAGGGGAAGGUCAAAAUUUGUGCUUUAUGAUUUCUUCUUAAUUUUUAAAAAUUUUUAAUUUUAUGGGAACAUAGUGGGUGUAUAUAUUUAUGGGGUACACGAGAUAUUUUGAUACAGGCAUGCAAUGUGUAAUAAUCACAUUAGGGUAAAUGGGGUAUCUGGCACCUCAAGCAUUUAGCAUUUCCUUUUGUUACAAACAAUCCAAUUGUACUCUUUCAGUUAUUUUAAAAUGUACAAUAUGUUUUGCUGACUGUAAUAACCCUGUUGUGCUGUCAAAUACCAGAUCCUAUUCAUUCUAUCUAACUCUAUUUUUGUACCUAGUAACCAUUCCACCCCCGCCCCUUCCUAGCCUCUGGUAACCAUCAUUCUAUUCUCUCUGUCCAUGAGUUCAAUUGUUUUAAUUUUUAGCUCUCACAAAUGAAUGAAAACAUGUGAAGUUUGUCUUUCCAUGCCUGUUUUAUUUCAUUUAACAGAAUGUCCUCCAGUUCCAUCCAUGGUGUUGUAAAUGACAGGAUCUCAUUCCUUUUUAUGGCUGAAUAGUACUCCACUACGCAUAUGUACCACAUUUUCUUCAUCUAAUUUAUCUGUUGAUGGACACUUACAUUGCUUCCAGAUCUUGUCUAUUGUGAACAGAGCUGCAAUAAACAUGGCAGUGCAGGAA
rnacentral:lncRNA from 1 species